UCAUUUCCACUCAGACGGCUCCCCAUUCUUUCCUUACUCUCGGUAUCACUCUCAAAGCAGUUCUCUCACACACUCUCUCUCAAAAACCUAAUCACCAUUGUAUCCAUCAAGAUGAACUGGGACUCAAAGGCGAUUUUGGAAAGACCCAAUCACCCCUGUCUCCGUUAAGGUCACCAGCGAGUCAAAGGCUAUUCGUAUGUUCUCUUUACCGGUUGCAAAGCGAAGCUUUCGACGGUGGGUAUUCAACUACGUAAAGGGGUGAUUCAAAGAUGUUUUUGGAAUUUCAAGCACAAGCAACUUCGUUCGAUUUAUGAAUCCUCAUUACAAGGGGAGAAGAUUCGAAGCAACUACACUCGAUUCGUGAUCCUGAUGUGGCUUUUUGUGGUGUUGAUCUUAACAAAUAGCUACAAUCUAUCUUCGGUGGUGCAACAAAUUUGGUCUUUUGUCACAAAAGACCGAAUUUCUUGUAGUGUAUUCUUUUAGUCACUUAAGACCGAAUUUCUUAUAGUGUAUUCUUUUAGUCACUUAAUUUGAUUUAAUAUCUCAAAUUAAUAAUCUUUUUUAUUUUUAUUUCUUCAUACCCUUAAAUGGGAUUAUUUUUUUUUAUAUAAAAAAGUUUAGUAUUAGUUAAGUGAUAUGAUCUGGGAUGAUUAAGAAAUUCAAAGCCUAAUUCAGAUAGUAAGUUUGGUUCCUAUUUUAGGUUGUCGUUUUUAUGGGAUUGGGCACUUGAUUGGGUUUGUAAUGCGGAUAAUUUAUCAGGCAUCUCUUUUUUGGUUAUUGUUAAUUUUUUGUUACCAUUA